UACGAAGGGGGGCUAGCGUUGCUCGGAUUGACUGGGCGUAAAGGGCGCGUAGGCGGUUCGUACAGUCAGACGUGAAAUUCCUGGGCUCAACCUGGGGGCUGCGUUUGAUACGUGCGGACUUGAGUGCGGAAGAGGGGUCGUGGAAUUCCCAGUGUAGAGGUGAAAUUCGUAGAUAUUGGGAAGAACACCGGUGGCGAAGGCGGCGACCUGGUCCGAUACUGACGCUGAGGCGCGAAAGCGUGGGGGAGCAAACAGG
rnacentral:rRNA from 1 species